GUGUAUUAUCACUUCUCCCAUUCUCCUCAGUCGAAAACCCUAGAUCGAGCUUAAGCGAACCGGCGGGCGACCUCGAGGGCGAGCUGGCGGCGGCGGAGGGCUCGACGGGGGGCACGACAUUGGGCUCGGCGAAGGGCGAGCUGGCGGCGGCGGAGGGCUCGAGGGGAGCACGCCACCGGCUCCGGCGCAGGGCGCGGCCGAGGCCCGCUCGCAGGGCACGGCGGAUGCCGGCUAGGCUAGGGGCGGUGCGGAGGCAUCGGUGCAGGGCACGGCGGUGCAUAACCUCGGCCGACAUGGGGCAGCUGACAAAUCAAUGAGUGGCCAGGAUAAGGCUAUUGAAGGCAUGGACGUGCUUGAUACUCUUGUGGUGAGGUUCCAUAUGAAGGGUGAUUUUGUGACAGAAGGAAGGGAAAAGAGCUAUGUAGGUGGUGCGGAGGCAUUGUUUUAUGUAGCUAGGUAGAAGGUGACAUUGAGUGGGAUUUUUGCACAUUUGCGUGAGCACUGCAGGGUGUUAGAGGGCACACUUUUGCACUGGCUUUUUCUAGGGAAAGAUAUCCAAACUGGGAUGCGUGCUCUACUGAGUGACAAGGUGUGCCAAUUCAUAUCAGACUGCAUUUGUGAGGGAGGGGUUGCAUAAGUGUACGUUGAGGAGCCUGAAAUAGUGGACUUAUGUGAUGAUUCAGACAAGGAUAGUGAUUAUGAAGCUGACAUGGAGGUGGACGGUGAAAAGGAAGAGGAUUGUGAAGAAAUUGCUGCAGAUGUUGAGCCAGAGCAAAUAAAAGGCAAUUGUGUGCAAUAAACAGUAACCCAAGAAGCUCAGGGUGAUACAAGUGCACUAAAGGGUAAAGCUGUGCAAGAAUGUGAUGAAGAUGAGAGGAUGCUUGUGGUUUAUCACCCUGAUUCUGCCCCCUUGCUAGUGUGCCACCCUCUGAAAGUGAAACUGACAGUGAUUACAUCCCAGGAGAUGACUGCCCUCUGAUGAUGAUGAAGAAACAGUUGAAAUAGAGAAGCAUUUUAAAGAGGUGAAGAAGAAGGUUAAGACAGCACAGUUAGACAUCUUGGAUGAUGUGUUCUUUGUGGUAGAGAGGUCCAACCCUAGUGACAGACCAGCUGCAGAUGAGGGGGAUGAAACCCCUUAUGUUGACAGUCAAUAUGAUGACUCAAUUGAAGAAAUUGGCAGUGAUGGAGAGGUUAGGAUAAGGAGAGACAAGCACUGUAACGCCCCGAUUUUCGUUCGGGAAUAAAAAUCAAUUAAUACAUUUUCUAGAAAUUAAAUAAAAGUUAAA